ensembl:miRNA
UGGUGAAUGUGAGGUUGUUUGGUUUUGUUUUUAAUUAAGAGCAGAGCUAGGAGACUUAAAAAGAUGAAUUACUA